rnacentral:rRNA from 1 species
CCUACGGGUGGCAGCAGUGAGGAAUAUUGGUCAAUGGGCGCGAGCCUGAACCAGCCAAGUAGCGUGAAGGAUGACUGCCCUACGGGUUGUAAACUUCUUUUAUGAGGGACGAAAGAAAUGACGGUACCUCAUGAAUAAGCCACGGCUAACUACGUGCCAGCAGCCGCGGUAAUACGUAGGUGGCAAGCGUUAUCCGGAUUUACUGGGUGUAAAGGGCGUGUAGGCGGGACUGCAAGUCAGAUGUGAAAAUUAUGGGCUCAACCCAUAACCUGCAUUUGAAACUGUAGUUCUUGAGUGAUGGAGAGGCAGGCGGAAUUCCGUGUGUAGCGGUGAAAUGCGUAGAUAUACGGAGGAACACCAGUGGCGAAGGCGGCCUGCUGGACAUUAACUGACGCUGAGGCGCGAAAGCGUGGGGAGCAAACAGGAUUAGAUACCCCGGUAGUC